rnacentral:rRNA from 1 species
AUGGGCCUCAGCCCCUCAAAGCGCGUGGACGCGGCGCUCCGGCGGGCGCCGGCGUUCGCCGCCGCCUGCGACGCCGCCUUCGACCGCUGCCUCGCCGACGCCCAGCACGCCUUCUCCGGCGUCCGCCCCUACCAGCUCGCGGACGCGUCCGAGCACCUCCACUCGGCCCUGCGGGGCUCCCUCCCUAUCGUCCGCCGCUGGGUGCCCUCGCCGCCGCCGCGCGUGCGCGUAGACUCUGCGCUGCGCGCCUCUGGCUUGGAAGGCGCUGCCGAGCUCUCGCGGGAUCAGUUCGGGGAGUUCGCGGCCGAGCUGUUCAGGGAGGCCGUGCUCGCCGGCGCGGCAGAGGCGGCGCUCGUCCGUGCCCCGGCCGGCGCGGCCGGGAUCCUCGGGGUGGCCAUCGUGUCCCGCGCCGGCGCCGGGGCGGCUGGGAAGUUGGUCGCUGUCUACACCGCCGGCGUCGCCGCUGCUGUUUACCUCAGCUUGGGCUAG